rnacentral:rRNA from 1 species
AUGGCCAUGAUCUUACCAGCCAUUCCUGUAGCUGUUGAGGUGAUUUCCAGUGUCAAUGCAUUGAACGAAUUCGUCGGCUGGGCGACACCACACAUGAAAGCGGCCAUACGUUAUGCACGGAACAUUCCACGGUCACCAGAUGAAGAGAACACAGCUGCACAACGCCAGAUUCAAGAGAAAAUUGAGCAGCUAGGCGAUAAGCUUGGGAGGCUGAAGACUCGUAUUUGGAAGCUGAAGACAACUAUGCCCAAGAUGCUUGACCUCAUUGACAGGGUUGAGUGGCAAAGCCACAAGGAACAAGCCACUGUUCUACUCCCGGAGAUCAAGGAUGCAGUGUACGAUGCAGAGGAUCUGCUUGAUGAGUUUGAUUAUUAUGCGCUCAAGUUGAAGGUUGAGUGCAACAAAAAUUUGGGGCAAGAUCACUUGCAUAAUGCCUUCAUGGAAUUCUUAAACACUAUAGACAGUGAUGAGCCCAAUAAUUACACCACGAAAGUCAAUGAUAUUCAAGAAAGACUAGAUCAUCUGAAUCAACAGUCCAAAGAUAUGGGCUUGCACAAAGCAGAGCUGAGGUUUGAUAAAUCAGUUAGGCCAGAAACGAGUUCUUUCGUUAAUGAGACAAAAAUAUUUGGUCGUAAAAAAGAAUUGAAAUCUUUGAUGGAGAAGCUGGGAGUUAAAAUUCCAGUUAAAAGUACAGGGAAGAGAAAAUUGGCCGAAGGUAGUGCAAGAAUGGAAGAAUUACCUGUGUUGCCAAUAGGUAAUGCAAGAAUGACAGAAUUGUCUGUGUUGCCAAUAGUCGGCAUGGGAGGUAUGGGAAAGACAACAAUGGCCCAACAAAUCUGCAAUGAUUCAAAGGUGAAGAAGCACUUUAAUCUCAUAAUUUGGACAUGUGCUUCAGAUGAUUUUGACAAAAAAAGAUUAACCAAGGAGAUUCUAGAACACCUGGGACAAGAUACAUCAUCCAAUAACCUGAAUUUUCUUAUGACAAAACUACAAGAUUGUGUCAGGUCCAAAAAGUUCUUACUUGUUGUUGAUGACAUGUGGGAUGAUAUCUUGAAGGAUGAUGGGGCGGGAUGGAGGGAGUUUUGUGCACCUCUGCAAAAUGGUUCUGAAGGAAGUAGGAUUUUGGUCACCACUAGAUUUUCCGAGGUUGCCAAAGUAAUUAGCCCCACGUAUCACUAUGAGUUACCUUGCUUAAAAGGUGACAUAUUCUGGGAGUUCUUCAAACUAUGUGCAUUUGGAUCCACGAGUUCUGGCAACAACCGUGAGUCACUAGAGUGCAUUGGUAAGAAUAUACUUCCAAAGUUGAAGGGCAACCCAUUGGCUGCCAAGACUAUUGGACGUUUGUUGAGGAUGGACCUAAGUACAACACAUUGGGAAAAUAUAAUGGAAAGUGAACUCUGGCAAGUAGAACAAAUGGAGAAUGACAUUUUGCCAGCCCUUCGACUGAGCUAUAUGUACCUACCUCAGAACCUGAAAAGAUGCUUCUCAAUCUGUGCAAUGUAUCCCAAGGAUCACAAAUUUGAGAUGGGUUUUUUAGCUGAUAUUUGGACUGCACAUGGAUAUGCGGAGAAUUCCCAAAAAGCAUCACUCUAUUUUAAUGCCCUUGCAAAUCGGUCAUUCUUUCAGCAAGCAUCUUCACACAGUUAUAUGUAUGUAAUUCAUGAUCUGAUGCAUGAUACGGCACAGCUUGUCACAAAGGAUGAGUGCUUCAUCAUAAAGCAUCCGCGUGACAUAGAUAGAGUCCCUUCAACUGUCCGUCAUCUGUCAAUAUUUGGAAACGGAGAUAUUGAGUGUUCUGAACUGAAGAAAAUAUGCAAUAGCAAAAAAAUAAGGACUCUGGUAUGUGAUGAUAAAUAUAACAGCGGAGAAGAUUUUGCUAGCGUGAUUGACUGUUGGUUCAAGGAACUGUUGAAAAUCCGUGUACUGAAGUUUAGAGUUGGCAAAGUAAAGAAGUUACCUGAGAGCAUGGGCAACUCAAAGCAUCUGCGUUACUUUUGUUUACUGGGGCCUUCCAACUUCGGCACCCUACCUUCAUCGGUUUGUCGUCUGCAUAAGCUCAGAAUUAUAGAGCGUGGUGGUGGUGUCAUUAAAAGGUUUCCACCAGACUUCAGUGACCUCAUCAGCUUGCAGAGAAUUAAUUCCAAGGGGUUCACUUAUGACAGGGACCAAUCUGAAAAACUCUGCCUAAAAUGGCCCAUUAUUGAGGUUGGAGCACCUAGUAGUGAGACGGUGGGAAUGAAGGAAAACCAGAUGGAAGUAUUACCUCACUGGAAUAUCCAACAUUUGCAUGUAGAGAAUUACAAAGGUGAAUCUUGUCCUAGCUGGCUCAUGCCCCAGCUCCUGCCAGGGUUACGCUCGCUCAAAUUUCGUAGUUGUGACAAAAUCAAGAGCAUACCAUUUUUUGUCCCGUCAGAGGAGUCACGCGAUAAUGCACAAGGACCAGACAACCUUAAUCGUCUUGAAGAGUUAGUUGUGCAUGCUUGUUAUGAAAUCAAUUGGCAAGGCUCGAUAGUCUUACCUACUUCUCUUAGGAAGCUAACACUUUCGGCCUCAGGCUGUUCCAUGGAUAACCUUGUGAGCUGCUUCCGUGACCUCACCUCCCUCACUCAUAUGGAAAUAAGGUUCGGCAGUUCAUUGACAUCUAUCCCCCUCGAUGUGUGGAGUAGCAACCUUCCAUCCCUGGAGGAUCUAUCAAUUACGGAUUGCUACCGCCUUGCAUCAAUAAGUGCCUCUGGAGCAAGCAGCAGCAGCGGUGUUAAAGGAUUCUCAGCCCUUGCUAAGAUAAAAUUUUACUCAUGUCGCACAUUACUGAGCCUUGAUGAAUUGCUGACGCCAGACUAUCUACCUGCCGUGAAGACGAUUUCUGUUACACACUGUGAAGCGUUGGCAUCCGUGUCUGUCGACAGGCUCCACGGCCUGGAGAACCUGGAAAUUGGACGUUGCCACAACUGUAGAAUAUUGUCAGUGACGUCCUCUCUUAAGCAGCUAGACUUGUAUAGUUCUGACGGCAUAGAAUUCAUCGACCUCAGCAAUAGCCAGUCUCGGAGUUCUUCAGCACUGAAGGUACUUAGCAUUACGGGCUGUCCAAGCCUCAGGUCCAUCGGUGGUGAAGCAGCUAUUGCUGAAAUAAUGAAUGUUGGUAUAACCGGGUGUCCCAACCUCACGGAGAUACAACAGCCACUCGAGCGCGGGACGGGGAGGUGGUGGCCACGGGCUGAUUAA